AUUGAACGCUGGCGGAAUGCUUUACACAUGCAAGUCGAACGGCAGCACGGGGGCAACCCUGGUGGCGAGUGGCGAACGGGUGAGUAAUACAUCGGAACGUGCCCAGUCGUGGGGGAUAACGUAGCGAAAGUUACGCUAAUACCGCAUACGAUCUACGGAUGAAAGCGGGGGAUCGCAAGACCUCGCGCGAUUGGAGCGGCCGAUGUCAGAUUAGGUAGUUGGUGGGGUAAAGGCUCACCAAGCCGACGAUCUGUAGCUGGUCUGAGAGGACGACCAGCCACACUGGGACUGAGACACGGCCCAGACUCCUACGGGAGGCAGCAGUGGGGAAUUUUGGACAAUGGGCGCAAGCCUGAUCCAGCCAUUCCGCGUGCAGGAUGAAGGCCCUCGGGUUGUAAACUGCUUUUGUACGGAACGAAACGGCGCUCUCUAAUACAGGGCGCUAAUGACGGUACCGUAAGAAUAAGCACCGGCUAACUACGUGCCAGCAGCCGA
rnacentral:rRNA from 1 species